rnacentral:tRNA from 1 species
UCUUUUAUAGUUAAAUUUAUAACAUUAGUUUUGUAAACUAAAAUUGAUCUAUAUCUAAAAGAA